rnacentral:rRNA from 1 species
UACAGAGGGUGCAAGCGUUAAUCGGAAUUACUGGGCGUAAAGCGUGCGUAGUCGGUUAUUUAAGUCGGGUGUGAAAGCCCCGGGCUCAACCUGGGAAUUGCAUUCGAUACUGGAUAGCUAGAGUUCGGCAGAGGGAAGCGGAAUUCCGGUGUAGCGGUGAAAUGCGUAGAUAUCGGAAGGAACACCUGUGGCGAAGGCGGACCCCUGGUUGGAUAC